CAUUGCAUCACUCUCUCUUGUUAGUUUCAGUUUCCCUUCAGUUUUAAAGGUCAUUCGAUUUAACACAAAUGUUAUCGUAAAAAGAAUGUUGAAUUAAAGAACUGUCACUUGUUACUUCUCUUCAUGCCUAUAGAGGAGCUAAGAUGAACAGGCACAUUGGAUGAGCUUCUUCGGUAAAACAUCAGCAGCGAAGAAAACAACAACCCAACAGAGACAGCGAAUGGUGAUGAGGGAACACCAACGGGCCGAUGGCCAACCUGUUAGAGGCAAAGACCGGAGGAACACCAACGGCCAACUUCAAAAACCUAGGAAAAGGAAAUACGAUUGAGGAAUAUGAAGAUUGGAGAUUCGGAGGAAGGGGGAUUCAGUAGGAUCCAUACAUAAAACGACGAACAGCAAUGCCGAUGGCCGAAGAUGGGAAGAUCGGCGUUGGUGAUGGCCAAUGAGGGAAGACGGAAGAUCGGUGUCACUGCAUUGACGAUGGCCGAUUGGAGGAGAUGGAAGAUUGGAGGUGGGGAUGGCCAAUGGAGGAACAUAAAAAACCGGCAUCGGCGAUGGGGGAAGACGGAAGAUGGAAGACGGCGUCGGCCAGGGGCUAGGGUUCUUCAAACCUCGAUGGGGGAAGUCGAGACUCAGGAGACACCGAAGAUGGAUGGGGAAGUCGGGAAGAAAGAUUGACAGCCGAUAGAUAGGAA
rnacentral:lncRNA from 1 species